rnacentral:misc_RNA from 1 species
GAUGAAGAACGUAGCGAAAUGCGAUACUUGGUGUGAAUUGCAGAAUCCCGUGAACCAUCGAGUCUUUGAACGCAAGUUGCGCCCGAAGCCACUAGGCCGAGGGCACGCCUGCCUGGGCGUCACACGCCGUUGCCCCCCCAUCUACUCCUUCGGGAUUGCGGGGGGGCGGAUGAUGGCCUCCCGUGCGCCUAGCCGCGCGGUUGGCAUAAAUACCAAGUCCUCGGCGACGCACGCCACGACAAUCGGUGGUUGCGAACCCUCGGUUGCCCGUCGUGUGCGUUCGUCGCGCAUCGAGGGCUCGAAAAAUGCUCGGCUCCGGCUGGGCUUUCAACGCGACCCCAGGUCAGGCGGGGUUACCCGCUGAAUUUAAGCAUAUCAAUAAGCGGAGGA